CCAGAUUCUUGGCCUUUUGGCUAAGAUCAAGUGUAGUAUCUGUUCUUAUCAGUUCAACAGCAUUCUGUACAGUGUAAAAUAAAGUAAGUUCAAUGCAAAGGAAAUAAAGAUGAAUUGUUUCAGGUCAUCUUCUGAAACAAUGAUUCUCACCUUGGACUUCCUUUGCCACAGCUGGUAAUAAUAAUA